CGCAUUCAGACAGGCCGUACCUCAAAGGGAGCACAAGCAUAAGUAGGCUCUAAGUCUCAUAUCAAACCAUUUCACCAUACUGUCAUAUUCUGCAUAUACAGUCUAAUUAGCUGGAAGCCAAUAAAGAUGCUGGUCUCACGACGUGCCGCCGACGGGAUUGAGCCCUCGCAUUUCAUCGACUUGACACGGGAGGAGAAAUACAUUUGCGAUGAAAACGGGAACAAAUACUUAUGCCCCAUUUGCUACGAGCCACCGUUGAGGAAAGUGAUCACCAACUGCGGCCAUAUAUUUUGCCUGGAAUGUCUGAACACCGCCUUGAAAGUAAAGCUCUGGUGCCCCCUUUGCAAGACAGAAGUGACCAGAAUGCAACGCAUAUUUACCUAAUGCCAAGUUUGCUGCAUAAUUACACUCAGUUCCAAUAUUUGUUGCUGUUUUGUUGCCGAUAUUAAAUGCCGCAAUCGCCAA